GGUCUGAGAGGAUGAUCCGCCACACUGGGACUGAGACACGGCCCAGACUCCUACGGGAGGCAGCAGUGGGGAAUUUUGGACAAUGGGCGUAAGCCUGAUCCAGCCAUGCCGCGUGUCUGAAGAAGGCCUUCGGGUUGUAAAGGACUUUUGUCAGGGAGGAAAUCCCUAGCGCUAAUAUCGCUGGGGGAUAACAGUACCUGAAGAAUAAGCACCGGCUAACUACGUGCCAGCAGCCGCGGUAAUACGUAGGGUGCAAGCGUUAAUCGGAAUUACUGGGCGUAAAGCGUGCGCAGGCGGUUGUGUAAGUCUGAUGUGAAAGCCCCGGGCUUAACCUGGGAACUGCAUUGGAGACUG
rnacentral:rRNA from 2 species